GAGGAGAAGCCCGCGGCGCAGUCUAUGGCCUCCUAGGGGGAAGGGCCUUGAGGUCCCUGUCCUUCUCCUAACAGGCGGCGACGCAGCCAUGGCCUUGCUGUCGUGGGAGUCCCAGACAGGGUAGGAAGGAGGGCCAUAGAAAGGAGGAGGGCCGAGUGAACAUGGAGUUUUGAAGGGGGAAACCAUUUGUGGUAUUUGAGUCCCGGAGGCAUAUGAAACCGCCCACAGAAGACACAUUCCAAAGUCUUCAGUGGGAACCUGGGAGAGGGCAGAGGACUGCGCGGCGCUGGAUGGGGUAGAGCGAGGAGGGUCGAGGAGGGGCGCCACAGCCCACAGAGCAGGCACCGACCUCACUGCGCAUGUGCCCUGGGCGUCUUCCCGUCGGCCCCUUUGCCCACGUGGUGAACGCGGCGGAGCUGUGAGGGUGUGAGGGUCGCGCUCCUGCUGUCUGGACUUUUUCUGUCCUACUGAGACACGGCCGACGUGAGGAUACAGCAAGAUGGUGACUAUCUGUAAGCUAGAAGAGAGGGUACCCGUCAGAAACCAACCCUGCUGACACCUGAUCCUGAACUUCCAGCCUCCGGAACUGUGAGAAAAUAAAUUUCUGUUGUUUUAAGCCACCAAAUAUGCAGUAUUUUGUUAUGACAGCCUGAGAAGACUAAUACACUGACUUUUAAAAAUAUCCCCAAGACAUGAGAUGAUGAACCUCAAGUACCACCCCAGACAACAAGGCUGCUUCAUCAGGACACAAACCUGCCUGUACCAGGACCUCUGACCUGUGUGCAGCAGAAGGAGUGGGUCAACAUAGCUUCUGAAGAGCAUUCAUUGGAGUGAAUCUGCCAUUUAUUGGCUGUUCUUCAAACCAUAAGACUGAUAUUGAUGGUCAGCUUACAGAGGUAUGCUCUCUACAGAUUUUCACGCCCAUCCAAUCUGUAAUGUGGCUCAUCUGUGACUCAUUCAUCAGGAGCAUGAAUUUUAGUGGCGAAGAGAAUCUGACCAGCCUUGUUCCACAGAGCUCAUAUGAAAUGUGCUGAUGAUCUUUGUGCUGGCCGCAGGAAUGGUAAUAAAACCAAUUGGACUAACCAUAAUCCUUCUAUAGAUUAACAUGAUUUCAGAAUUAUUAACCACUUUCACAUGACUCUAUGUACAUAGCCACAACUGGUUACGUUGUACAUUAUGGUAAUCACUAUUACAUGGUGAUUUUGCUUCCAACAUUAUAUACACACAUUCAACAAAGCUGAUUUUAAUUUUGGGAGCCAGAUUCUAUUUAUUCUUCAGGGAAAAUAAAGCAGACAAAACCUUCAAGUUUUA
rnacentral:lncRNA from 1 species